rnacentral:tRNA from 1 species
GGAAGGGUGGCCGAGUUGGUUAUGGCGCCAGGUUUAGGUCCUGGUGGGGCAACCCGCGCGAGUUCGAGUCUCGUCCCUCUCA